rnacentral:rRNA from 1 species
GUGAACGCUGGCGGCGUGCCUAACACAUGCAAGUCGAGCGGUUUCAUGGUAGCAAUACCGUGGAAUAGCGGCGAACGGGUGAGUAACACGUGGGUAAUCUCCCCUCGAGUGAGGAAUAAGCCCUCGAAAGGGGGUCUAAUACCGCAUGACACUCCGGGACGUAUGUCUUCGGAGUCAAAGCCGAAAGGCGCUUGAGGAUGAGCCUGCGUCCUAUUAGCUAGUUGGUAGGGUAAUGGCCUACCAAGGUUAUGAUGGGUAGCCGGCCUGAGAGGGUGUACGGCCACACUGGGACUGAGACACGGCCCAGACUCCUACGGGAGGCAGCAGUGAGGAAUUUUGCGCAAUGGGGGAAACCCUGACGCAGCGACGCCGCGUGGAGGAUGAAGGCCUUCGGGUCGUAAACUCCUGUCAGAGGUGAAGAAUGCCCGCAAGGGUUUGACGGUAACCUCAGAGGAAGCCCCGGCUAACUACGU